GACGAACGCUGGCGGCGUGCUUAACACAUGCAAGUCGAACGGAAAGGCCCUGCUUGCAGGGUGCUCGAGUGGCGAACGGGUGAGUAACACGGGGGUGAGCUGCCCCUUACUGUGUGAUAAGCCGGGGAAACUGGGUCUAAUACUGGAUAGGACCAUGCGGUAGGGGGGGUGGUGGAAAGAUUAGUUUCGGUAAGGGAUGAGCUCGCGGCCUAUCAGCUUGUUGGUGGGGUAAUGGCCUACCAAGGCGUCGACGGGUAGCCGGCCUGAGAGGGUGGACGGCCCCAUUGGGACUGCGAUACGGCCCAGACUCCUACGGGAGGCAGCAGUGGGGAGUAUUGUACAAUGGGCGCAAGCCUGAUGAAGCGACGCCGCGGGGGGGAUGACGGCCUUCGGGUUGUAAACUCCUUUCAGCCAUGACGAAGCCCUUGUGGUGACGGUAGUGGUAGAAGAAGCACCGGCUAACUACGUG
rnacentral:rRNA from 1 species